ensembl:rRNA 5S_rRNA 5S ribosomal RNA
GUCUGUGGCCAUACCCUUCUGAACAGGCCUGGUCUAGUCUGAUCUUGAAGCUAAGCAGGAUAGGAUCUGGUUAUAGUUGGAUGGGGAGACCUAAAUAAUCGGGGCUGGAAAAG